UAGAAACACCAUCACCUACACAUACCUCUGCUUCUUUUCAUUAACCUGUUAUCCUCUUUACAAAUGGUAUUCUUCACCCACUCCCUUCUUCCAGAUUAGCAAUGCCCUGUUAAGUAAACGAACAUGAAAUUCAAAGGGAAACAGGAACAAUAAUCAUUACCAGCUGCCGUGUUAAGCAUUGUGAAAACGCUCACGAUUCACAGAAAAAUCCAUGCUGUUCUUUGAAGGCAUUCAAGCCUUAAUAGCUAGCUGGAUGAAUGUUUAACUUCUAGGCCAGGCACUACUCUGUCCCAACAAUAAGCCCUGUACAUUGGGAAAGGUGCCGAAGACAUGAACUUUGGUCUUCUCUGCAAUCCCUCUGGAGCAUUCAGUGACAACGUCGACUUUGAAGUUGCACUGACCUGGCCAGCCCUGCCACUUACCAGGUUGGCUCUGUAUGGCUAAGAGUUUUCUCCUAAAAUCCCUUGAAAACUGUGAGAAGACCAUAAGAAGAUCAUAUCUUUAAUUCUAUUUCACAAGUCACACAGUAUUCCAGUCAAAUACAGAUGGUUGAUAAAAGUCAUCCAUCUUCCCUCUCCACCCUCCCACAGCCCCUCAACCACUGCCCUGAAACUUAUAUGCUGUUAUCCACAGCUCCGUCUGGAGCAUCACAGCUAUUGUCAACCCUGACGCUCUUUCUGAAAAAACACUGGAUGGACAUCAGAACUAUUUCUUUAAGGAUGUUACUGAGUCACACAGGAAAACUUGCCUUAUGAUUUUGGAUACACGGUUCUGAUUUGACGAAACGUGAUAACUAGAGAAUCACCCAAUCUACUCCCAUUUUCAACUCUAAAUCAUCAGAUUGUCUCAGAUCCAAAGCACACACAGACCAGCCUGGCCAAUUUGGUGAAACUCCACCUCUACUAAAAGUAUAAAAAUUAUCCAGGUGUGGUGGUGGGCGCCUGUAAUCCAAGCUACUUGGGAGGCUGAGGGAGGAGAAUCCCUUGAACCUGGGAAAUGGAGGUUGCAGUGAGCAGAGAUCACACCACUGCACUCUAGCCUGGGCCACAAAUCAACAACAACAACAACAAAAAAACAAAGCGCACACAGAGACUGAGGUCCUCUUUGGCAUUGAGACGAUGGCUAUGCAAGUCCCGACUAGCAAGUGCAAACUUCCCAGCUUCACUUCUGCCAGUGUCCCUUCACCCCUUCUCAACCCCACUGGGAGGCAGGAGGGUGCUUGACAAUAGCCUUGGCAUCACACUGCCAGGGAGUAAUAGGAACUGUUACAAUUCUGAGAUUCUAUGUAAGCACUGGCCUUUCUGCCUAGAAUGCCUUCUCCUCUCUUUUUUAACUGCAUGCUCCUAUUUAUCUUUCAAAGCCCUGAAAAAAUAACACUGCACACGGGAAAUGCUCCCUUUCUACUGCAGUCAUUUAGAUGACUCUAUGCCAUUCCAUUCAUUUCUCUUUCCUACCACAGAAGUGCUUUGAGAUUUUGGAGUCAGACUACUUGAACUUGAAUCCUGGCCCUCUCAUCAGAGACUUGACUUAUUUUAGGCAAGUUAUAUAACCACUUUUACUCAGUUCCUUACCCAUAAAAUGGGUCUAAUGAGAGUGCCUACCACACAGAAUUUUGAUGAAAACUAAAUGAGAUGAAGGCCUUUAAGGCAGUGGUCCCCAACCCUGGGGACACAGACAGGUACCAGUUUGUGGCCUGUUAGGAACUGGGCCACACAGCAGGAGGUGAGCAGUGGGUGAGUGAGAUCAGCAGUAUUUACAGCUGCUCCCCAUGGCUCACAUUACUGCCUGAGCUCCACCUCUUGUCAGAUCAGCAGUGGCAUUAAAUUCUCAUAGGAGCACAAACCCUGUCGUGAACUGCGCAUGAGAGGGAUUUAGGUUGUGUGCUCCUUAUGAGAAUCUAAUGCCUAAUGACCUGUCACGGUCUCCCAUCACCCCUAGAUGGGAGUGUCUAGUUGCAGGAAACAAGCUCAGGGCUUCCACUGAUUCUACAUUAUGGUGAGUUGUAUAAUUAUUUCAUUAUAUAUUACUAUGUAAUAAUAAUAGAAACACAGUGCACAACAAAUGUAAUGUGCUUGAAUCAUCCCCAAACCAUCCCAGUCCAUGGUCUUCCACAUUUUGUCUUUUCACAAAAUUGUCUUCCACAAAACUGGUCCCUGGUGCCAAAAAGGCUUGGGACCACUGCUUUAAAGCCUUUGCAUAGAGCUUAGAAUUGAGGGAAAACAAAAACAAAAACAAUGCAGCUAGUUACUACCAUCACUAUAUUGGUGAGUUUCAAAAGGAAAACAAUUCUGUCCCAUUUAUGCUUGAGCCUUGAGUUGCUAACCAAGCCUGACACAAAAUUACUGUUGAAGGGAUGUGUGAGUCCUAAUUGAAAUGAGGCCACUUAAGGGAAUUAUGGACCAAACCCUAAGCAGGGAGAAAGCCGUAUCUUAAUUAUUGCAAGUAUUUCAGGCAAGGUGUGGAUGGCCAUUUGAAUUCAAGCAGAGUAGGACCUGGGAUGAGAAAGAAGGUGUGUACGUGACUUGAUCUUUGAACUUUAGCUCAUCAUCUGGAAGAAGGCUGAGUAUACUGUGCAUUCACAUAGUAGCUAAUGCCUACUCCUCAUCCACCCACAAUUCUUUCUGUAGGAAGGCUCGCUAGAAUACUUUGUGAUAUUGGAUAUUAGUUCCAUAUUCUACUGUGUAUCUUAGUUCAACCAAAUUGUAAUCAUCUGAUAUUGAUUUAUUUUAAUAUAAAUAUAAUUAUAUUAAGUUUUGGCAUGCUUGCUCAGUUUCUCUGUCUCUCUCUCCCACUCAUCCCCACUCCCCUCUCUCUUUCCCAACAGGCUUGGAAAGCAGGCAUCACCAUGCCUAUUUAACAGUUGGGGUCCCUUGGCUAUCAGGUGCUGGAGUAGGAAUCCGAGCCCGGACAUGCCUGAUCUGUAAAUUUUAUGUUUUCCCCACUGUGCUGAGCAGAUCACAACAAUCAGCGCCAAAUUCACAGAAGGGGCGCCCCCUGUGGUCAAUUGAGGGAUUUGUGUUUGAGGUAGAUCUCAAGACGGAAUGGGUGGGAUAACUUAAACAGCCUAGGACAGGGCAGAAAGGAGCCCUCGCUCCCCAAGCACCAACGGCCUCAGUCCUUCCUGCUGACUCCAACCUCCAGCUCUCACCCAGACUAUCUGCAUCCUUCUCUCCACCACGCUCCCUUGGAACCUGCGUAAAACACAGAUUAAAGGAAUUCCUCCUUACUUCCCUUUCCGCAUUAUGACCAAAUGGUUUUAUACUAUCAUUGAACAGUUUAGUACAAAACAUGCCACCUUUUAAUCUAUUCAUUCAUUUAACAAAUACUUUGGAGUGUUUACCAUGUGCCAAGUGCUGUUCUAAUAGACAUAAGCUGUGAGGCUAUGCUUAUCUGAUUCUCACAGCAACUGCUUUCGAGAUAUGAAUUGGUAUACUCAUUCGACAGAUGAGGAAACUGAAUUCAUGUAGUGAGAAAGGAAGAGCUGGAAUUCAGGGUUAGUGGUUUCGCCUGCACUAAGCACUGAGCCACACUAGACGAGAAGGAAUGAGGAAGACAAAAGUGAGAAGGCAGGAGAGAAGAUAUUAAGUAGAGGUCUAUUAGUUCCUCUUAAAACUAUUUAUGAAAGAGGGGAAUGGGGUAGUGGAUGGGAAAGACAGAUGGAUUCAUGUCCUUCACUCUAGGUUUCCCCCCAUUCCCUUCCCUUUUAAAUGCCUGCUCAUUUUUUGGUUACCUUUCAAGCUCUAGGAAAUACUCUGGAAUUCCAGGCUGGGAGGGGUUUCCUUUGCAGAUCUGGCUAUUGUAUCUUUACAAGAAAUUGCUCAAUACUUCCUCUCACCAGUUACAAACCACGGUUUUCUGAAUGAACUUUAUGUUCAUUAAACAGUUAACCCUUCAGCUUUCUGACUCACAUUUUUCAUGUUAUUAGUCAGCUUUUAGAGUAAGGUAAAAUCUAGAACAGACUUUAUAUACACCCUCCCUCCCACACACAUAUACAUACAUAAUACAAACACAGACCACACAUGUCCACGUUCUUAUGUGCAAACACUAAGAAACACAUGCAUACACAAACAUACAUGUACACAAAAUUAAAUACAUAGCUAUGGCACUUUCACUAUACAUGUAAACACCCUUACACACAUACGGAUGUACAUGCGUGUGUGUGCAAACACGUAUGGAAUUAGCUUUUUCUCUUUGUGGGAGGAGGGAAAUGAAAAGACCCAAAACAUUCAGAUUCCCAAAUGGACACGUAAGAACCCCGUCAUGGAAAUAGGUCUGGGUUUUUUUCUCUUUUGAGGGAAGCAGGGCGUUUCUGGUUACUGUCGCCAUUGCUGUUGUGCCCCUGCUUACCAUCCUCCUGAACACCCCCCCACCGCCCGCCCCCGCCCACCACUGCUAGGGUUUACAGGUCAUCCCUGGAUUAAAUAAGUGAUACUGUGUUUUUUUUUUUCUUUGACACAAAGUAAAAUUAUAAUUAAUAUUGAAUAAAGUAAAAAUGAACUCCUGAGUUCCAGUCCCUUAUGUAACACACCUGGUGUGUGACAGGCACUCAGGAAAUAUUAGUUGCAUGAAUGAAGGCUGCAUUUUCAUUAGAACAACAUGCAGUUCAACCCCUUCAUGUUUCAAUGAGGGUUCAGAUACCCAGAGGGCUAUGUGAUCAUCCUGGAGCCCACUCUGCUAACAAUUAGCAGAACGGAAGCCUUAAUUUCCAGAAUCUAGUGAACUUGAUGAGUCAAGACCAUUGCAAUUGGAAAUCUGUUCUCCUCUGCUGCUGCAUCCCCCGCUUAAUACUCAAGCCAGAAACCAGGAAGGUAUGUGCCACAAAGUAAAGUGGGAUUCAGGACAAUUACCCAUCAAGACUUUGUUACAGAUAUCCAAAGCAGGCAAUUCAAGUCCCAGCUUGACUUUACUGUCUCCCAUUGUGGUGGUUAAUGGAGACAACUUGAAUCCAAAUUUGUGCACGUGGAUUUCUUUGUUUCUCUGAGGUUUGACUUAUCUGCCAAAAGAGAGAAACACAGAGAGAGGGGAGAAACAGGAGAGGGGAAAGAGAGAGGAGAGAGAAACCAAGGAAAUGUGACAUAUAAUAAUUUUUUAAAGAAUAUUUUUUCAUUUUUUUAUUGAGGUAUAAAAUACAUGUAGUAAGGUAUGUAAAUAACUCAAAUCUUAUGUGAUUUUUUUAUGUACGUGUAUACCUGUGUACACCUGUGUAACCACUACCUAAGUCAAGAUAGAGAACAUUUUAAUCACCUUAAAAGAUUUCCUGUGUCUCUUCCCACCAAUACCUGCUGAUGAGCCCACUCUCCUUACUGCUAUCAGCAGAGUUGUUUUACCUGUCUUUGAACUUAACAUAAAUGUAAUUAUACUGUAUACACUCUUUUGUGUCUGACUUCUUUCACCCAACGUACUUGUUGGUUUAGUCCAUGUUGUUGUGUAUAUCAGCAGUUUGUUCUCAUUAAGUAGCAGUGUUCCAUUGUAUAAAUGGACCAUAUUUUAUCCUCCUUCAUGUUAAUGAACAUUUGAAUUGUUUUCAUGUUCUUGUUAUGAAUCAACAUGGUUAUGAAUAGUUUGGUUAUGAAGAGUUUUACACAUGUUUUUAGUAUAUUUUGUUUCUCUUAAAUAUAUACUUAGUAAUGGGAUUACUGGUCGUAUAGUAUAGGCAGGCAGAUGUUCAGCUUUCAUUGACACAACCAACUGUUUUUGAAAGGGGUUGAGGCAAUUCAUACACAAUAAAUAACGUAUAAAAGUUCCAG
rnacentral:lncRNA from 1 species